UUCCGAGUGGCUGGCAUUGGUUUCCUUUGUCUCCUUCCAUUGAUACUUAUCAUGAGUGGACGUCUUCAUUUGAUGAUUGGCUGUCUAAGGCGAUGGCAAGAAGAACGAGAUUUGAUCACCGAAAACUACACCAAAGUGGUUGAAGAACGAGACGUGCUCAUUGCUAAUUACACCAAAGCGGUGGAGGAAAGAGACAUACUUGACCAACUCAUGGGUGUAUGGAAGAGCUUUAAUUCCAGCCAGUAUUUCUUCUCGGUGCGUGUGGCAACCUGGGAUGAAGCUCGAGAGGACUGCAGACGCAGAGGAGCGGAUCUGGUCAUCAUCAACAGUCAAGAA